rnacentral:rRNA from 1 species
GACGAACGCUGGCGGCGUGCUUAACACAUGCAAGUCGAACGGAAAGGCCCCUUUGGGGGUACUCGAGUGGCGAACGGGUGAGUAACACGUGAGUAACCUGCCCUUGACUUCGGGAUAACUUCAGGAAACUGGGGCUAAUACCGGAUAGGAAUCCUUGCUGCAUGGUGGGGGUUGGAAAGCUUCGGCGGUUUUGGAUGGACUCGCGGCUUAUCAGCUUGUUGGUGGGGUAGUGGCUUACCAAGGCUUUGACGGGUAGCCGGCCUGAGAGGGCGACCGGCCACAUUGGGACUGAGAGACGGCCCAGACGCCGACGGGAGGAAGAAGGGGGGAAGAUUGCACAAGGGGCGGAAGCCGGAUGCAGCAAGGCCGCGGGCGGGAUGACGGCCUUCGGGUUGUAAACCGCUUUCAGCAGGGGCGAAGCUUGUGGUGACGGUACCUGAAGAAGAAGCACCGGCUAACUACGUG